AUAAGAUAUCCAUUGAAUAUUUUCAAGUGUGUUUUAUAAUUAGAAAAUACUUGAUUCUUAUAAAAUCUUUGAGAUUACAACCAUCUAUCUAUACAUUGCUGAAAUAAGAAAAGAUUAUUGACCCAAGAAUGUAAAAAGAGAAGUACAAAAAGUAAAGUAUUUUUGACUUUUCAUCUAGAUAUUAGAUACCUUGUAAAUAUAGGUACCUUUGAAAAGCAGAUCUCUGUAGUAUUUCUUUUAAAUUAUGAAAAACUAGAAAACAGAAAGGCAAGUGUAAAAUGACUAUGUUAGAUAAUUUAUUUUCUUAUUAAUGCAAUGAAUAAAGAAGUAGACAUGAUCUUAAACUGACAGUGACAGAAUCCAAUAAAUAUAACCACAAUGUUAUCAUAUGUUCUGUUAAGCAGGAACUAUAAAACUGCCUCUUCUGAAUGGCUCCCACAAUUUAUUAAACUUCACACUUAAUGAUACAGGUGUGACUUUGGAACACUGCAUUGGUGUAGUACCCAGACUGUACAGAAAACAUGGCAACAUCUGCUUCUGAGGAGGCCUCAGGGAGCUUUAAUUCAUGCAGAAGGCAAAGAUGGAGCAGGCAUCUUCAUGGCAAGAGCAGGACCAAGAGAGAGCGGAGAGCUGCCGUAUACUUUUAAACAACCAAAUCUCAUGAAACUCACUAUCACAAUUAACAGAAACAAAAGGAAAAUCUGACCCCCAUGAUCUAGUCACUUUCCCAUCAGGUCCCUCCCUUGAAGAAUGGAGAUUACAAUUACAAUGAAAUUUGAAUGGGGACACAGACACAAAUAUCAGGUGGGGAUACAGAUUCAAACCACAUCAUUGGGCAAUUUGAAAGUCCUCUUGACUUGAUCUCUUUGCUUGCAUUAUUGCUCUGCUACAAUCUAAUCCCAACAUAACAAACCGAGUAAUUUUGAUAAAUUGUGAUUCAGAUUAUGUGUCACUAUUCUGCACAAACCCUCUGAUACUGGUUUUAUUUAAACCUACAGUUCCCUACGUGUUCUGAACCAUAUUCAUUCACAGAUUUAAUCACUAAUUACUCUUCUUCUUACUUAUUCUGCUUUAAAUCCAUUGAUCUCCUUGUACUUCUUCAAAUAUUCCAAGUGUGUUACUGCCUUAAGAUACUUCUAUUAGCACUUCCUUAUAAUAUUCUUAUAAAAUCCUUAAAAUAGACAUAUAAAAUUCUUAAAAUAUUCUUAACUAACUGCCUCAUUGUCUACAAGAUUUUGCUCAAAUGUCACCUUCUGCCUGAAGCUCAUACUGACCACUCUUAUCCCUGACUUUGAUACUCCUAAUAUUGUUACUGAAAUGUCAGGGGUUUGGUCCAGGUCCUGCUAUUUACCACACAGAAAGCCAUUCACUGAGACAAUGAGUAUUGCCAGGGAGGAAGGCUUUAAUCAGGUGCUACACUUGAGGAGAUAGGAAAUAAUUCUCAAAUCCGUCUCCCUGACCAACUAAAAUUAGGGGUUUUUAUAGUAGGAAAGAAAUGUAACCAUGUGUGAGAAAAGAGAAUGUUCAAGGGAUAAGUAAGAUGAGUUUGUCAAUCAUAAAAAGCAGGUGGUUGGUUGGGCAAUCAUUGCAGGGGUCCUGCAUCUCAUUGCCCAGAUGUGGUAAUGUGGAAGAUUCAGUUCCUGGAUGCUAUCUGGGAGACCUGAUGGUUCGUUUCCUGAGAGGGGAUCCCAGACAAGACAAAUACAACUUUCUCAAGUUUUAAUACUGGGAGAGUCAAUUUCUAUGUUUAUUCAGAUGAAACCACAAACAUCAGUUCUAUGAGAAAAUUGGGUGGGUUUUAGUCUCCCACUUUCAAUUUAUCAAUUCCUCAUCUAUGGAAAAUGUAGUCAUCAAUCUUUCUGGCUGCUACAUUUUGAGAAGGGACAUUGUCGGCAGGUUUAUACCAGGAGCAACUGCAUGGCCACCCAGGAAUCAAAUAUUAAACACUAUGGGUUUCUUCUGAAACAUAGUCAUUUUCUCUUCAGUCCUUCACUUGCACCAAAGACAAAACACAGCAGUACCAACCUAUCUACAAAGUAAGCUUCAGUCCCACCAUACUUGGUCUGAAUAACCACACAAAAUACAGCAAGAAUCACUGUCCAACUGGGCUCUCCUAAAUGGGCUUUGCUGGAAUCUCUCAUUAGGAAUCUCAGACUUGACUUCCAAAGGCCUCCUGAGCCCAGUCAAGGAUCCAUCUGCACCUAAAAAUACCUGCAAGAAUUGGGUGAACCCAUCUCUUCUUGAGACCCCCAAACAGCUUGAGGUUUCCAGGUCUCUCAAAAAGUGAUACUCUCUAUUUUCCAUUGGCCAGGAACCCUAUGGAAAGGAACUUCAUAAACUAUAAGGCCAGUUUUUCUAAGGGGUUUUCAUCCACUCUGCAAAGUCAACCUCAAUUUCUCAAAGCAGUAUGCUCAUUCAGAAAACAUGUCAUUUUAGUCAAAGCCUUGGAAAAUAACGAGUUCCAACUAUGCGCCAUUAGAAAAGAAAAUAUAUGCAAACAAACACAUUGCCAUAAAUUAAGAAUAUAGAGUUUCAAAAUUCUGAAGAAAUCAGGCAGAGAGAGAAAUAUGUCUCAAAUCUGUUUAAAAACAUAUACUCCUCUCAAUUCUUAAACAAUACAAAUAGGCCAAAAGAAAAAAGCUCCCUCAACUCUGAUAAACAAAAAAAAAAAAAAAAAACAGAAGAAAGAAUCAGCAUUUUUU